AGAGUUUGAUCCUGGCUCAGGAUGAACGCUGGCGGCGUGCCUAAUACAUGCAAGUCGAACGCUGGAGAUCUAGCUUGCUAGAUCGAAGGAGUGGCGAACGGGUGAGUAAUACAUAAGCAACCUACCCACGAAGACUGGGAUAAUCUCUGGAAACGGGGACUAAUACCGGAUAGGUAAUCGGAAGGCAUCUUCUGGUUAUUAAAGGUUAAAAACACUGGUGGAUGGGCUUAUGGCGCAUUAGUUAGUUGGUGAGGUAACGGCCCACCAAGACGAUGAUGCGUAGCCGGCCUGAGAGGGUGAACGGCCACAUUGGGACUGAGACACGGCCCAGACUCCUACGGGAGGCAGCAGUAGGGAAUUUUCGGCAAUGGGGGAAACCCUGACCGAGCAACGCCGCGUGAGUGAUGACGGCCUUCGGGUUGUAAAGCUCUGUUGUAAGGGAAGAACGGUAGAUAGAGAAUAUCUAAGUGACGGUACCUUACCAGAAAGCCACGGCUAACUACGUGCCAGCAGCCGCGGUAAUACGUAGGUGGCGAGCGUUAUCCGGAAUUAUUGGGCGUAAAGGGUGCGUAGGCGGCCUGUUAAGUAAGUGGUUAAAUUGUUGGGCUCAACCCAAUCCAGCCACUUAAACUGGCAGGCUAGAGUAUUGGAGAGGCAAGUGGAAUUCCAUGUGUAGCGGUAAAAUGCGUAGAUAUAUGGAGGAACACCAGUGGCGAAGGCGGCUUGCUAGCCAAAGACUGACGCUCAUGCACGAAAGCGUGGGGAGCAAAUAGGAUUAGAUACCCUAGUAGUCCACGCCGUAAACGAUGAAUACUAAGUAUUGGGGAAACUCAGUGCUGCAGCUAACGCAAUAAGUAUUCCGCCUGUGGAGUAUGCACGCAAGUGUGAAACAUAAAGGAAUUGACGGGGGCCCGCACAAGCGGUGGAGUAUGUGGUUUAAUUCGACGCAACGCGAAGAACCUUACCAGGCCUUGACAUCCCUUGCAAAGCUGUAGAGAUACAGUAGAGGUUAUCAAGGAGACAGGUGGUGCAUGGUUGUCGUCAGCUCGUGUCGUGAGAUGUUGGGUUAAGUCC
rnacentral:rRNA from 2 species